AAGUGCAUCAAAUUGUUUACCAGGCAUUAAAUUACCUACUUCCUCAUCAAUUCCUAAUGCUGAAAUAUAAAGAUAUUCAAGGAUGUUAAGCAAGAUUGUUUGACACCACUAAUGCAGAUCUCAUUGCUUCUACCAUACUGGAGCUUUGUCCUCCGGCUACAUCUAGUGAUAAAAUAAUUAUAUAUUUUAUAUACAAAUUUAUCUGACAUCAUAACAAAAUUUAUAAAGAAAGAAUAAUAUUAUCAAUACCAGUCCCUAGUCCUACUUUAAGUCCUUUUGAAAUUAAUUUUCGUACAUCGCACAUACCACUUUUUAAACAUAUAUUGGAUGAUGGACAAUGUAUAACUGCUGUAUCAUUUUGUCUGAGAAGCGCUAUUUCACUGUCCGUAAGGUAUAUUGCAUGAGCUAAUAUUGUCUAAGAAAAAUAAUUUAAAUCUAAUUGAAAAAUGA
rnacentral:lncRNA from 1 species